AAGAGAUAAAGAAUGCUCAACAAUAAGAAAUUUACCCAAGAGACAGGAAAAAGACUUAUUAACACUCACUUCUAGCAAAACCCGACCAAGGAAUGCUUGUUUCGCUGGCAAAUAGACGAGGCUUAGUAAAAAGCUCGACUUCUGCAAAAAAACUGCUAAUAUAGAAGGAAAAAAAUAGGAUUGAACCCUCCAAACUAAAUUUUACGGUGGUUGGUUGUGCGCAGGUUCUGAAAAGCUGGUAACGCAGUUGAA